rnacentral:rRNA from 1 species
UUCUCGUUAGAUCACCGAAGUGAAGCAUCAUUGGGCGCGGUCAGUACUUGGGUGGGUGACCACCUGGGAACACCGCGUGCCGUU